AUUUGGAAACGAAUGCUAACACCCCAUAUGCCUUUAAGACAAAAGUCUGCAAGGGAAAUAUUUAUAGCUCUAGGAUCGGCCUGUACGGUAUCAGUUUGUUGGUGAGGUAAUGGCUCACCAAGACUAUGACGCCUAACUGGUUUGAGAGGAUGAUCAGUCACACUGGAACUGAGACACGGUCCAGACUCCUACGGGAGGCAGCAGUGGGGAAUAUUGCACAAUGGGGGAAACCCUGAUGCAGCAACGCCGCGUGGAGGAUGACACAUUUCGGUGCGUAAACUCCUUUUAUAUAGGAAGAUAAUGACGGUACUAUAUGAAUAAGCACCGGCUAACUCCGUGCCAGCAGCCGCGGUAAUACGGAGGGUGCAAGCGUUACUCGGAAUCACUGGGCGUAAAGAGCGUGUAGGCGGAUAGUUAAGUUUGAAGUGAAAUCCAAUGGCUCAACCAUUGAACUGCUUUGAAAACUGAUUAUCUAGAAUAUGGGAGAGGUAGAUGGAAUUUCUGGUGUAGGGGUAAAAUCCGUAGAGAUCAGAAGGAAUACCGAUUGCGAAGGCGAUCUACUGGAACAUUAUUGACGCUGAGACGCGAAAGCGUG
rnacentral:rRNA from 1 species